rnacentral:rRNA from 1 species
GACAGAGGUGCCAAGCGUUUAGGCGGAAUCACUGGGCUUAAAGCGUGUGUAGGCGGAAUUCUAAGUACCUUGUGAAAUCCCACGGCUCAACCGUGGAACUGCUUGGUAUACUGGUUUUCUUGAGCCACUUAGGGGCUGUCGGAACAAGCGGUGGAGCGGUGAAAUGCGUAGAUAUCGGAAGGAACACCAGUGGCGAAAGCGGCUUCCUGGUCCAGCACCGACGUUCAGGCACGAAAGCGUGGGGAGCAAACAGG